GUGGAUUAGUGGCGAACGGGUGAGUAACACGUGAGUAACCUGCCCUUGACUCUGGGAUAAGCACUGGAAACGGUGUCUAAUACCGGAUAUUUCAACUGACCGCAUGGUCUGGUUGUGGAAAGAAUUUUGGUCAAGGAUGGACUCGCGGCCUAUCAGGUAGUUGGUGAGGUAAUGGCUCACCAAGCCUACGACGGGUAGCCGGCCUGAGAGGGUGACCGGCCACACUGGGACUGAGACACGGCCCAGACUCCUACGGGAGGCAGCAGUGGGGAAUAUUGCACAAUGGGCGAAAGCCUGAUGCAGCAACGCCGCGUGAGGGACGACGGCCUUCGGGUUGUAAACCUCUUUUAGUAGGGAAGAAGCGAAAGUGACGGUACCUGCAGAAAAAGCACCGGCUAACUACGUGCCAGCAGCCGCGGUAAUACGUAGGGUGCAAGCGUUGUCCGGAAUUAUUGGGCGUAAAGAGCUCGUAGGCGGUUUGUCGCGUCUGCUGUGAAAACUGGAGGCUCAACCUUCACCUGCAGUGGGUACGGGCAGACUAGAGUGCGGUAGGGGAGAUUGGAAUUCCUGGUGUAGCGGUGGAAUGCGCAGAUAUCAGGAGGAACACCGAUGGCGAA
rnacentral:rRNA from 1 species